AUUGAGUGCGGUCUAUAAUGCAGUCGACGAACUCUGGUAUUGAUUGGUGCUUGCAUCAUGAUUUACAUUUGAGUGAGUGGCGAACUGGUGAGUAACACGUGGGAAACCUGCCCAGAAGCGGGGGAUAACACCUGGAAACAGAUGCUAAUACCGCAUAACAACUUGGACCGCAUGGUCCGAGUUUGAAAGAUGGCUUCGGCUAUCACUUUUGGAUGGUCCCGCGGCGUAUUAGCUAGAUGGUGGGGUAACGGCUCACCAUGGCAAUGAUACGUAGCCGACCUGAGAGGGUAAUCGGCCACAUUGGGACUGAGACACGGCCCAAACUCCUACGGGAGGCAGCAGUAGGGAAUCUUCCACAAUGGACGAAAGUCUGAUGGAGCAACGCCGCGUGAGUGAAGAAGGGUUUCGGCUCGUAAAACUCUGUUGUUAAAGAAGAACAUAUCUGAGAGUAACUGUUCAGGUAUUGACGGUAUUUAACCAGAAAGCCACGGCUAACUACGUGCCAGCAGCCGCGGUAAUACGUAGGUGGCAAGCGUUGUCCGGAUUUAUUGGGCGUAAAGCGAGCGCAGGCGGUUUUUUAAGUCUGAUGUGAAAGCCUUCGGCUCAACCGAAGAAGUGCAUCGGAAACUGGGAAACUUGAGUGCAGAAGAGGACAGUGGAACUCCAUGUGUAGCGGUGAAAUGCGUAGAUAUAUGGAAGAACACCAGUGGCGAAGGCGGCUGUCUGGUCUGUAACUGACGCUGAGGCUCGAAAGUAUGGGUAGCAAACAGGAUUAGAUACCCUGGUAGUCCAUACCGUAAACGAUGAAUGCUAAGUGUUGGAGGGUUUCCGCCCUUCAGUGCUGCAGCUAACGCAUUAAGCAUUCCGCCUGGGGAGUACGGCCGCAAGGCUGAAACUCAAAGGAAUUGACGGGGGCCCGCACAAGCGGUGGAGCAUGUGGUUUAAUUCGAAGCUACGCGAAGAACCUUACCAGGUCUUGACAUACUAUGCAAAUCUAAGAGAUUAGACGUUCCCUUCGGGGACAUGGAUACAGGUGGUGCAUGGUUGUCGUCAGCUCGUGUCGUGAGAUGUUGGGUUAAGUCCCGCAACGAGCGCAACCCUUAUUAUCAGUUGCCAGCAUUAAGUUGGGCACUCUGGUGAGACUGCCGGUGACAAACCGGAGGAAGGUGGGGAUGACGUCAAAUCAUCAUGCCCCUUAUGACCUGGGCUACACACGUGCUACAAUGGAUGGUACAACGAGUUGCGAACUCGCGAGAGUAAGCUAAUCUCUUAAAGCCAUUCUCAGUUCGGAUUGUAGGCUGCAACUCGCCUACAUGAAGUCGGAAUCGCUAGUAAUCGCGGAUCAGCAUGCCGCGGUGAAUACGUUCCCGGGCCUUGUACACACCGCCCGUCACACCAUGAGAGUUUGUAACACCCAAAGUCGGUGGGGUAACCUUUUAGGAACCAGCCGCCUAAGGUGACAGAUUUUC
rnacentral:rRNA from 1 species